rnacentral:rRNA from 1 species
ACGGGAGGCAGCAGUGGGGAAUAUUGGGCAAUGGGCGAAAGCCUGACCCAGCAACGCCGCGUGAAGGAAGAAGGUCUUCGGAUUGUAAACUUCUUUUAUGAGGGACGAAGGACGUGACGGUACCUCAUGAAUAAGCCACGGCUAACUACGUGCCAGCAGCCGCGGUAAUACGGAGGAUCCGAGUGUUAUCCGGAUUUAUUGGGUUUAAAGGGUGCGCAGGCGGGAUGUCAAGUCAGUGGUGAAAUGGUGCGGCUCAACCGUAGCAUUGCCGUUGAAACUGGCGUCCUUGAGUGCGAAUGAGGUACGCGGAACGUGUCAUGUAGCGGUGAAAUGCAUAGAUAUGACACAGAACACCGAUUGCGAAGGCAGCGUACUGGGACGCGACUGACGCUGAGGCACGAAAGUGCGGGGAUCGAACAGGAUUAGAUACCCUGGUA